GACAGAGGAUGCAAGCGUUAUCCGGAAUGAUUGGGCGUAAAGCGUCUGUAGGUGGCUUUUUAAGUCCGCCGUCAAAUCCCAGGGCUCAACCCUGGACAGGCGGUGGAAACUACCAAGCUGGAGUACGGUAGGGGCAGAGGGAAUUUCCGGUGGAGCGGUGAAAUGCGGUAGAUAUUGGAAAGACCACCAAUGGCGAAGGCACUCUACUGGGCCAUUACUGACACUGAGAGACGAAAGCUAGGGGAGCGAAUGGG
rnacentral:rRNA from 1 species